UGGGGAAUCUUGCGCAAUGCACGAAAGUGUGACGCAGCAACGCCGCGUGCGGGAAGAAGGUCUUCGGAUCGUAAACCGCUUUCAGUUGGGACGAGGGUUACACGGUGAAUAGCCGGCGUAACUGACGGUACCUUCAGAAGAAGCCCCGGCUAACUACGUGCCAGCAGCCGCGGUAAUACGUAGGGGGCAAGCGUUAUCCGGAAUCAUUGGGCGUAAAGCGCGUGUAGGCGGUUCCGUAAGUCCGCUCUGAAAGCCCAGGGCUCAACCCUGGGAGGCGGGUGGAUACUACGGAACUGGAGUACGGAAGAGGAGAUUGGAAUUCCUGGUGUAGCGGUGAAAUGCGCAGAUAUCAGGAGGAACACCAACAGCGAAGGCAGAUCUCUGGGACGUUACUGACGCUGAGACGCGAAAGCGUGGGGAGCAAACAG
rnacentral:rRNA from 1 species